UUUGUUUAAUAAUACUCCCGAGUCCCUACCUCUCUUGAUAAAAUGACAAGAGAGGAUUAUUUAUUUAUUUAUAGAAAUAAAUUUAGGUAAGUUGAAUGAAGACACAAAAUAAGUUUUCUGUGGGACCCAUUUGAUGAAUUCUUCAAACAAUAAGUAUUAUUACUUUAAAAUUCUCUCCCACUUUUCCAAAAAAAAAAACCUCAUAGUACAAAAUUUUCCCAAGUCCCCCUUGACUACUAGGAUUUUUUUUUGUAAAAAACAAUGUUUCAAACACUAUAGGGAUGGACACUAAUGAUCAUGCAAUAUCAAGUUGAAGAUCAUGAUCAUGAUACAAGAUUUCAAGAAUGUUUAAGCAGAUUCAUGCCUCUGCAUAAAAGUUGAUGGUGAGGGAAUUAAGCUUGAGAUCAAUUGUUACCAUGGUUGUGUUGACAGUGUCUUUACUGGUGCUGCCACUGGUAUUGCCACCGUUAUCGCCGCCGCCUUUGUUAUUUCUUUUUAUUCCAGUUUUUAUCAUGAUUCUUCUGCUUUUCUUGGCUUUAUCUCCAUCACAAGCUGAGCCCAAUAUAGCUGUCACUUCUGUUUGAUGCAAGAGCUGGAAAUUAAUUCUGUUGCUCCAAAGCUUGCACAAGAUGUCCAAAAACCAGUGUAAGGGAUUGGAAAAGCAGCAAAUCUAGCUCUAUAUGUCUCUUGCCUCUUGAAGAAGAAGAAGAAGAAGAUUGCCCAUCUGGGAACUGUACGUGAGGUUGAUCCAAGUUUGUUGUCUAUGUUUUUUAUCAUUACAUUAACCAGAAAAUUCAGGUUCUGUCCUUAGUCAUGAUCUCUUUCUCUCUCUUUUAUUUUCUUUUUUUACCCGUUUACUUUUAAAUGGAGACUUGAAGAAAUUAAAAAUGAUGAUGAGGAAGAGGAGCCUAUAUAUAUAUGUGAUCUUUGUUUUUUCAUUUCAAAUUGUUAUGAUGAAUGAAAAUAGAACUGAAGAAUUCCAAAACAUGGCAAUACCAGUCACUAUUUUUUUGGUUUUCAUACUCCAUGUAUUGAUUUUAUUAUUAUAAUUAUAAUUAUUACGGCAUCUACAUUCUUUCUAGGCGUUUACAAGAGAGGGGAAAUUGUUUGUAAAUUUAUUUACCAAAUAUUAAUAAGAAGAGGAAUUGUCAUGAGUGGCCGUACGUAUGUAGUAUAUGAAUUUAG
rnacentral:lncRNA from 1 species